rnacentral:rRNA from 1 species
AACGAACGCUGGCGGCAUGCCUAACACAUGCAAGUCGAACGAGAUCCUUCGGGGUCUAGUGGCGCACGGGUGCGUAACGCGUGGGAAUCUGCCCUUAGGUUCGGAAUAACAGUUAGAAAUGACUGCUAAUACCGGAUGAUGACGUUAAGUCCAAAGAUUUAUCGCCUGAGGAUGAGCCCGCGUAGGAUUAGCUAGUUGGUGUGGUAAAGGCGCACCAAGGCGACGAUCCUUAGCUGGUCUGAGAGGAUGAUCAGCCACACUGGGACUGAGACACGGCCCAGACUCCUACGGGAGGCAGCAGUGGGGAAUAUUGGACAAUGGGCGCAAGCCUGAUCCAGCAAUGCCGCGUGAGUGAUGAAGGCCUUAGGGUUGUAAAGCUCUUUUACCCGAGAUGAUAAUGACGGUAUCGGGAGAAUAAGCCCCGGCUAACUCCGUG